rnacentral:rRNA from 1 species
AGUGAACGCUGGCGGUAGGCCUAACACAUGCAAGUCGAACGGCAGCACAGUAAGAGCUUGCUCUUACGGGUGGCGAGUGGCGGACGGGUGAGGUAUACAUCGGAAUCUACUUUGUCGUGGGGGAUAACGUAGGGAAACUUACGCUAAUACCGCAUACGACCUACGGGUGAAAGCAGGGGAUCGUCGGACCUUGCGCGAUUGAAUGAGCCGAUGUCGGAGUAGCUAGUAGGCGGGGUAAAGGCCCACCAAGGCGACGAUCCGUAGCUGGUCUGAGAGGAUGAUCCGCCACCCUGGAACUGAGACACGGUCCAGACUCCUACGGGAGGCAGCAGUGGGGAAUAUUGGGCGAGGGGCGCAAGCCUGAUCCAGCCAUACCGCGUGGGUGCAGAAGGCCUUCGGGUUGUAGAGCCCUUUUGUUGGGAGAGAAAAGCAGCAGGUUAAUACCCCGCUGUUCUGACGGUACCCAAAGAACAAGCACCGGCUAACUUCGUG